rnacentral:rRNA from 1 species
CACGUAGGGGACGAGCGUUGUCCGGAUUCAUUGGGCGUAAAGCGCGCGUAGGCGGCUCGGAAAGUCGGUCGUGAAAUCCCGUGGCUCAACUGCGGGUCUGCAUUCGAUACGGGCAGGCUAGAGUUCGGUAGGGGAGACUGGAAUUCCUGGUGUAGCGGUGAAAUGCGUAGAUAUCGAGAGGAACACCUGCGGCGAAGGCGGGUUGCUGGGCUGACACUGACGCUGAAGCGCGAAAGCUAGGGGAGCGAACGGG